UACGGAGGGUGCAAGCAUUAAUCGGAUUUAUUGGGCGUAAAGGGCGCGUAGGCGGACCGACAAGUCAGAUGUGAAAUCCCGGGGCUCAACCUCGGAACAGCAUUUGAAACUAUCGGUCUAGAGGGUAGGCGGAGAAAACGGAAUUCCACAAGUAGCGGUGAAAUGCGUAGAUAUGUGGAAGAACACCGGUGGCGAAGGCGGUUUUCUAGCUUACUCCUGACGCUGAGGCGCGAAAGCAAGGGGAUCAAACAGG
rnacentral:rRNA from 1 species